CUACGGGUGAGGCUCAAGAUCCAGGAAUCAGAGAUGCUGCUGGAUCUCCAAAGAAACUUUGCCGAUUGGGCCACGUGAACCCCGCAGACGGUGCAAGCCCAGAGGCAGUCUAUACCCCGACUCAACUGGCUGGUCCUCAGGGCUGCCUGCUUCCGUGCCCAACUUAGAACUAUACAUCUGCUGCCUCCUGGUAACAUGUCAUUAUAAGUCUGAAGAUAGCCAUUUGAAAUGCUCUUUGAGGGAUGUAAAGUCAACCCCGGAUCCAAAGUAGCUUUGAUGUUUGUCAGGAAAAUGCUGGAGUUCUAUAUACUACAGUUUUCACAGAGCAUGAAGAACUCCAACUUCAGAUAACCUGCAAAAAAAGUCAGAAAGCAAUUAAAUGUAAAAAUAAAUUCCUUUG